UUCCUGGUGGCUCAGUCAGUAAAGAACUUGCCUUAAAUGCAGGGGACCUGGGUUCGAUCCCUGGCUUGGGAA
rnacentral:tRNA from 1 species